GCCUCCUUAGUGCAGGAGGCAGCAUGUCAGUCUCAUAAUCUGAAGGUUCUGAGUUCAAAUCUCAGAGGAGGCA
rfam:Canis lupus familiaris chromosome 13, whole genome shotgun sequence.